rnacentral:rRNA from 1 species
AUGAUCUACCGGAGCUGGUCGCUGCUCUCGUCGACGGUGGCGAUCUGGGGCGGUGCUGCCGCCGCAGGGCUCACCGUCGUCUCCCUCUCUGGCGGCAAGGAAAAGUUUCAGGACUACCUGUGCCGCGAAGGCGAUAGGCUGAGGCGGCAGGACAGGGCCACCAUGGCCAGCGCCAACUGA